rnacentral:rRNA from 1 species
GAUGAACGCUGGCGGCGUGCCUAAUACAUGCAAGUCGAGCGAACAGACGAGGAGCUUGCUCCUCUGACGUUAGCGGCGGACGGGUGAGUAACACGUGGAUAACCUACCUAUAAGACUGGGAUAACUUCGGGAAACCGGAGCUAAUACCGGAUAACAUGUUGAACCGCAUGGUUCAACAGUGGAAGACGGUUUUGCUGUCACUUAUAGAUGGAUCCGCGUCGCAUUAGCUAGUUGGUAAGGUAACGGCUUACCAAGGCAACGAUGCGUAGCCGACCUGAGAGGGUGAUCGGCCACACUGGAACUGAGACACGGUCCAGACUCCUACGGGAGGCAGCAGUAGGGAAUCUUCCGCAAUGGGCGAAAGCCUGACGGAGCAACGCCGCGUGAGUGAAGAAGGUCUUCGGAUCGUAAAACUCUGUUAUUAGGGAAGAACAAAUGUGUAAGUAACUAUGCACGUCUUGACGGUACCUAAUCAGAAAGCCACGGCUAACUACGUG